rnacentral:sRNA from 1 species
CUCUCUCUUUUUCUGUUGUACUUCAGGAGCUGAUGCAAAACAGUCGGUGUGUGCUGAGCAAAUGGAAGAACAAAUAUGUCUGUCAGCUCCUCUUUGGUUCAGGUGUGCUGGUGUCUCUAAGCCUUUCUGGGCCACAGCUGGAGAAAGUGGUGAUUGACAGAAGCCUGGUGGGGAAGCUCAUCUCAGACACCAUCAGUGAUGCUCUUCUCACAGACAGUUUUAUCAUCUUAUCAUUUUUGGCACAAAACAAACUAUGUUUUAUUCAGUUUACCAAGAAGAUGGAUUCUUCUGAUGUAAACAAAAGACUGGAAAAACUCUCAGCCUUGGAUUAUAAGAUUUUCUAUUAUGAAAUACCCGGCCCAAUAAACAAGACAACAGAGCGACAUCUAGCUAUCAACUGUGUUCAUGAUAGAGUUGUUUGCUGGUGGCCACUGGUCAACGAUGAUGCUUGGCCUUGGGCCCCCAUUUCUUCUGAGAAGGACAGAGCCAAUCUACUCCUCCUGGGUUAUGCUCAAGGAAGACUAGAGGUUCUGAGUUCUGUCCGCACAGAAUGGGACCCACUGGAUGUUCGCUUUGGCACCAAACAGCCUUAUCAGGUGUUCACAGUGGAGCACUCCAUAAGUGUAGACAAAGAGCCUAUGGCUGACAGCUGCAUCUAUGAAUGCAUUCGGAAUAAAAUCCAGUGUGUGUCAGUCACCAGAAUACCACUAAAGUCAAAGGCCAUCAGCUGCUGCAGGAAUGUUACUGAAGACAAACUGAUUCUGGGCUGUGAAGAUUCUUCGCUAAUUCUUUAUGACACUCACCGUAGAGUGACUCUCUUAGCACAGACUGAACUUUUGCCUUCAUUAAUAAGCUGCCACCCAAGUGGUGCCAUUCUGCUAGUUGGCAGCAACCAAGGGGAGUUGCAAAUUUUUGAUACGGCUCUAUCCCCUAUUAACAUCCAACUAUUGGCUGAAGACUGCUUACCCAGGGAGACUCUGCAAUUCAAUAAAUUAUUUGAUGCCUCCAGCAGUCUUGUUCAAAUGCAAUGGAUAGCUCCUCAGGUUGUUUCUCAGAAGGGUGAAGGUAGUGAUAUCUAUGAUCUCCUCUUCCUCAGGUUUGAAAGAGGACCUUUGGGUGUGCUGUUGUUUAAACUAGGUAAGUCAAGGAAAGUGAUGAGUAAGUAAAUUAAAGUGUUUAUGAUAGUGACAUAAUUAAGGCAAUAAAACUAUUCUUAGAAUGUAUAUUUUUCUAUUUAUCAUCCCAUAAAUAUGUUUGCCUUUCAAAUAUCCAUAUAGUUUCCUUUUGUGGAUGACUUUCUAACUGCCAAAGGAGCACUAGAUAUUGAAUAAUUUGGAAAUUACACUAAUUGUCAAUUAUGAUGCUUCAAAAGCCCUAACUUUUACAUUUGAUACGCUCUAAAAUAAACUACACUACUAAAUAAUUCCUUAAGAAAUAGACAUGUGAAUAUUUUAAAAGGACUUACUUUGUCCAUUG